rnacentral:rRNA from 1 species
UACAGAGGGGGCAAGCGUUGUUCGGAAUUACUGGGCGUAAAGGGCGCGUAGGCGGCCUUCUAAGUCGGAUGUGAAAUCCCCAGGCUUAACCUGGGAACUGCAUCCGAUACUGGAUGGCUUGAAUCCGGGAGAGGGAUGCGGAAUUCCAGGUGUAGCGGUGAAAUGCGUAGAUAUCUGGAGGAACACCGGUGGCGAAGGCGGCAUCCUGGACCGGCAUUGACGCUGAGGAGCGAAAGCCAGGGGAGCAAACGGG